ACAAGUUCAACGGCCGCGGUAUUUUGACCGUGCAAAGGUAGCGCAAUCACUUGUCUUUUAAAUAGAGACCUGUAUGAAUGGCUAAACGAGGGCUUAACUGUCUCCCUUUUCAGGUCAGUGAAAUUGAUCUACCCGUGCAGAAGCGGGUAUAACAAUACAAGACGAGAAGACCCUUUGGAGCUUAAGGUACAAAACUCAACCACGUAAAGCAACUUAAUAAAAAAUAAAAACUUUGUGAAACAUGAGAUUUUACCUUCGGUUGGGGCGACCGCGGAGGAAAAAAAAGCCUCCAAGUGGACCGGGACAAACUCCUAAAACCAAGAGAAACAUCUCUAAGCCACAGAACAUCUGACCAAACAUGAUCCGGCCACCAGGACCGAUCAACGAACCAAGUUACCCUAGGGAUAACAGCGCAAUCCCCUCCCAGAGUCCAUAUCGACGAGGGGGUUUACGACCUCGAUGUUGGAUCAGGACAUCCUAAUGGUGCAGCCGCUAUUAAGGGUUCGUUUGUUCAACGAUUAAAGUCCUACGUGAUC
rnacentral:rRNA from 1 species